rnacentral:rRNA from 1 species
GACGAACGCUGGCGGCGUGCUUAACACAUGCAAGUCGAACGGAAAGGCCCUGCUUUUGUGGGGUGCUCGAGUGGCGAACGGGUGAGUAACACGUGAGUAACCUGCCCUUGACUUUGGGAUAACUUCAGGAAACUGGGGCUAAUACCGGAUAGGAGCUCCUGCUGCAUGGUGGGGGUUGGAAAGUUUCGGCGGUUGGGGAUGGACUCGCGGGUUAUCAGCUUGUUGGUGGGGUAGUGGCUUACCAAGGCUUUGACGGGUAGCCGGCCUGAGAGGGUGACCGGCCACAUUGGGCCUGAGAUACGGCCCAGAAUCCUACGGGCGGCAGCAGUGGGGAAUAUUGCACAAUGGGCGGAAGCCUGAUGCAGAAGCGCCGCGUGCGGGAUGACGGCCUUCGGGUUGUAAACCGCUUUCGCCUGUGACGAAGCGUGAGUGACGGUAAUGGGUAAAGAAGCACCGGCUAACUACGUG